UCUGAUUAUGGCUCGAUUGAACGCUGGCGUGGGAUGCUUUACAUGCAAGUCGAACGGCAGCACGGACUUCGGUCUGGUGGCAAGUGGCGAACGGGUGAGUAAUGUAUCGGAACGUGCCUAGUAGCGGGGAUAACUACGAAAGUUAUUAAUACCGCAUACUACCUUCGUAGGAAAGCUGGGGACCUUCGGGCCUCGCAACUAUGAGAGCGGGCCGAUAUCGGAUUAGCUAGUUGGUGGGUAACGGCCUCAUCAAGACGAUCCGUGAAGCACUGCCUUGAGGACGACCAGCCACACUGGGAUCAUACGGCCCAGACUCCUACGGGAGGCAGCAGUGGGGAAUUUUGGACAAUGGGGGAAACCUGAUCCAGCCAUCCCGCGUGUGCGAUGAAGGCCUUCGGGUUGUAAAGCACUUUUGGCAGAAAGAAACGGCACGGAUAAUACCCCGUGCAACUGAUGGUACCCGCAGAGUCAUGCACCGGCUAACUACGUGCCACAGCAGCCGCGGUAAUACGUAGGUGUGCGUUAAUCGAAUUACUGGGCGUAAAGCGUGCAGGCGGUUCGGAAAAAGAAAGAUGUGAAAUCCCAGCUAACUUUUGGAACUGCAUUUUUAACUACCGAGCUGAGUGUCAGAGGAGGCGGAAUUCCGCGUGUAGCAGUGAAAUGUUAGACAUGCGGAGGAACACCGAUGGCGAAGGCAGCCUCCUGGGAUAACACUGACGCUCAUGCACGAAAGCGUGGGGAGCAAACAGAUUAGAUACUCCUGGUAGUCCACGCCUCUAAACGAUGUCAACUAGUCACAGCCAGCCUUCGGGCCUUGCAGCGCGCUAACGCGUGAAGUUGACCGCCUGGGAGUACGGUCGCAAGAUUAAAACCCAAGAACGACUGGGACCCGCACAAGUGUGAGAUGUGGAUUAUCUGAUGCAACGCGAAAAACCUUACCUACCCUUGACAUGUCUGGAAUCCCUAAAGAGAUUUGGAGUGCUCGUAAGAGAAACCGGAACAUUGCGGUGCUGCAUAGCUGUCCUCAGCUCGUGUCGAGAUGUUGGGUUAAGUCCCGCAACGAGCAACCCUUGUCAUUAGUUGCUACGAAAGGCAAUUUAAUGACGACUGCCGGUGACAAACCGGAGGAAGGUGGGGAUGACGUCAAGUCCUCAUGGCCCUUAUGGGUAGGGGUCACACGUCAUACAAUGGUCGGGACAGAGGGUCGCCAACCCGCGAGGGGGAGCCAAUCCUGAGAAACCGAUCAGUCCGGAUCGCAGUCUGCAACCUCGACCGCGUGAAGUCGGAAUCGCUAGUAAUCGCGAUCAGCGCUGUCGCGUGAAUAUUGCCCUGGUCUUGUACACACACCGCCCGUCACACCAUGUAGGAGUGGGUUUUACCAGAAGUAGUUAGCCUAACCGUAAGGAGGGCGAUUACCACGGUAGGGAUUCAUGACUGGGGUGAAGUCGUAACAAGGU
rnacentral:rRNA from 1 species